AAUCAAAAAUUCAGUAUUAAUUUAAUUAUUCGCUAGUUCACUUGUGUUUAAUUAUGUUGUGUAGAUUGACGAAAUGCUGUUUUUGCUUUCCUCUAAGAUCUGGAUUAAUCGCAUUUGGAUAUAUUUGUCUUAUAAUUCUUUACCUUAACAUAAUAUCGAUAAUAUGCCAUAUGAGUGACCUGUUCCAGGGACUAUCAUCAACCGAUCCCAUGAAUUACAUUAUACUUUCGCUGGCGUUGGGUGUCAACAUUAUUCAGUUCUUUUUUGAUGUUAUUUUACUUGUCGGACUUCACAAGGGAAGCACUGCAUUACUAGAAGCAUACUACGAGUGCAACUUAUGUAUGCUUAUAACUCAAAUGGUAAUUGCUGGCUUGUACAUUCCUCUACAGGCUUAUAGAUCAUAUCCUACACUGAAGAAUUACGUUUGGUUAUUAUCAAUUAUAAUGAUUUUUUGCGGUGCUCUUGUUAUUGUGUGUCAAUUCUACUUAACGUCACUGGUUAAAAGUCAGUUACGAGCCAUUAAACAAGCAGUGGUUAGGGAAGAAGAAGUAUGAAACUAGCAGUUCAUCGAAAAAUUCAACUCGACAGGAACGCAUUCUGGUGAAGCGGAGACACAUGCUGAUACUAUGGAAAGAUGCUUGAAACAAAAGAAGAAUGCUUAUUUUCUAAAUCUAAUUGUUAAUAACUUCGUAGAUAUAUGUAUUCUCACAUGUGUUAAAGUCUUGGUAAUCAACUAAUCCAUAGACGUAUUAGGCCACGUGUGUGUUUAGGGGUAUCUACACGGGAUACACUUUUAAUGAAAUAUGUGCCGACUAUAUCCUGACAUUACAAAAAAACAUUUUAAUGCAGCACAUAAAAAAGCGCUGAAAAAAUUUAUAUCUCGGCAAUAUUUCUGCAUAUGGCUCAUUAUUUUGUCUUUACACGGUCUACAUACAUGGCAUGGCUAGUACUUAUUACCAAAAUAAACA